AAGCACGUAGGUGGGUUUGUAAGUCAGAUCGUUUAAAGCCUUCUGUUCAACGGGAGAAUUGCAUCUGAAACUACAAACCUUGAGUAUAGGAGGGGAGAAUGGAACUUCUGGUGGAGCGGUGAAAUGCGUAGAUAUCAGAAGGAACGCCGGCGGCGAAAGCGAUUCUCUGGCCUAUUACUGACACUCAGUGUGCGAAAGCUAGGGGAGCAAACGGGAUUAGAUACCCCGGUAGUCCUAGCCGUAAACGAUGGGCACUAAGUAGAGGGGUUUU
rnacentral:rRNA from 1 species